GACGAACGCUAGCGACAGGCCUAACACAUGCAAGUCGAGGGGCAGCACAUGAGUAGCAAUACGAUGGUGGCGACCGGCGCACGGGUGAGUAACACGUAUGCAACCUGCCUUCUACUAUGGGAUAACCCGUUGAAAGACGGACUAAUACCGUAUAAUACAGGGGCUCCGCAUGGAGAUAUUUGUUAAAGAUUUAUUGGUAGAAGAUGGGCAUGCCUAUGAUUAGAUAGUUGGUGAGGUAACGGCUCACCAAGUCAACGAUCAUUAGGGGUUCUGAGAGGAAGGUCCCCCACACUGGUACUGAGACACGGACCAGACUCCUACGGGAGGCAGCAGUGAGGAAUAUUGGUCAAUGGACGAGAGUCUGAACCAGCCAAGUCGCGUGAAGGAAGACGGUUCUAUGAAUUGUAAACUUCUUUUGUGCAGGAAUAAAGUGGGUUACGUGUAACCUUUUGUAUGUACUGUACGAAUAAGGAUCGGCUAACUCCGUGCCAGCAGCCGCCGUAAUAC
rnacentral:rRNA from 1 species